CCUUCUGAAAUUCAGAAAAGGAACAUACUUCGAUAUUGAGAUGCUUUUCUCUUCUGCUUUCAUAUAUUAUUUUAAAAGUAAACAUUGCAUGUCAUCAGACCAGAGAUUCAUUACAAACCUACUUCCCACUAAAAUAAAUUCAAUUUAAGAAAACUCUCAAAAUUGAGGACUUGAUUAUAUUUGCUCAAACAUUACAAUAAACACCAUCUAUUCUUGAGCCAGAAGGAUUGUAUGACUAAACAGUAAAUGAUCAUUUUCAACAUUUUCUAAAGGAAUUACAGAGCUAUCUUGAAAAUGUCAGUGGAACCCGGGAAUCUGAUUCCUUAUAGGCCUUUGAAAUCUGUAGUACUGUGGAUGACAGACGAUACAGCACAUUCACAUGAAUGUAGAAUGCAAGGGCAACUUCAGCUGUGACUUUCUUGGCCUAUGUUAUGUAGCAGUUAGAUUUACAGCCCUGGCUUUCCUGUGUUAAUUUGCAGAAUGGAGCAAUAGUCAUUACUAUUUUGUGUAUUUGUUCCAGAAAAAAACCCUCUGAAUUCCUCCAUAUCUCACUGUACACCUGGAUCAUCAUUCAUACUGAAGUUGUUCUCAGUGACUGCAAAAUAUCACAUAGAAGAAGCUCAGAAUCUCCAGAAAUGCUUGAAGAGGAGCCAGAAGCAGUGAAGAUCAGCAGGUCUGAAUAUGUCCAAGUUCUCCAAAAGCAGUAUAACCACGGGGACCAUGUGACUGUAUGUCACCAACCUGGAUGUAAGAAGUGUGACGCUGCAGCAGAGGGGUUUCCAACCUGCCAGGGUACCUUUUGGAAAUGGAAAUUGAUUUUUCUCAAGGAUUCUUUACUGGGCAUUUUUCCAGCACGGGAAGCCCAGUGAGCACUCUGCUGUGGGAUUCACUGCUGUCAGAGCCACAGCUGUAAAGAGAAACCCAGCUGUUCAAUGAAUCAAAUGGGACUGGAAUGGUCCACCAUUAUUCCUGGAUUUUAUUCUGCUGCAGGUACUUGUAGAUUGGUUCUAAGGUAGUCUAAACAAACCUCAUUAUGAGCUUGCUAAUUUUGAAGAAUUGUUUUGGUGUUUAGCAUGAGCAUUUUGCUGCAGGUUUGAGUAUGCUUUCAUCCAGAAUGUUUUUUAGAACGGAAUUAACUGAGAAAGCAGUAGUUC